GUUUGGAUAUUCCAAACAAGGCCUUUUUCCGAAUAUAGCAUUUUCCGUUUAAGACGUGAUAUUCCGGUAUUAUUCAGGUUUUAGAGGCAUUCUUUGGACAUGUCUACAGUGCAUUGAGAAUAUGCGUCUCAAUCUGUGUUUCACCACAGUUAAUGCCCAUUUACAGCUUAUGGU